AUCUAGCGAGGCAGAGGGGAAGGGGAGUCCUCUUCUUCCCCAGUUCACGUCUUCGGUCCCGUCCAUUUCCACGGCUCCGACCAACCCCAAUGCCCUCCAAACCCUAGCCCACGGUCCCUGCCCCCUGGUGGCGAUGCCGGAUCUGAGCACCGUCUGCCUCCCUCCUUUCCCCGAACUUCCCGUCGACGCCGCGGGGGACCUCGCCGACGACCACGCCGGGGAUGCCGCCGCCGCCGCCGCCGCAUCGAUCGACGCGGCGCCCGCGUCCGCGUCUUCGUCUGCCUCUGUGGAGGACAGUGGAGGCGGCGGCCCCCUCAUGCUCCCAGUGGAAUGCCGGUGGAGCGGCCGUGUCCGCACCUUCGAGAUGUCGGGCGCAGGCGGUGCGGUCGCCUGCCCCGCCGCGCGGCGCGGCGGCGGCGUGGGGAAGAAGCCGUCCGUUGCUCCGUCACCCGGACCAUCGCGGACGCAGGCUCCAGCACCGGGUAAGACGCUCGAGGAACGCGUGAGCGAGUGGGCAGCUAGGAAGGCAGCGGCCGGCGUCCCUGCCCACCACUGCGUGCUGCCUUUCCUCACCGGCGCGCCAAAGGCGACUCGUUGUCUGGGCGGAUCAAGCAAAAUGCAGCUGGAAUGCUUCAGCUGGUCGAAUGCUGUUUGUGCUCCAGGAUUAUUUAUGCUGGAGAAAAAAUAAAUUGUUCUGUUAGUCGCUGUCAAGAGGUCUUUCAUCUUAACUGUGUUGUGAAAGGCACUUCAAACUUCACUGCCGAAAGCUUCAGGUGUCCUCAACAUGCCUGUAUGGUUUGUAAGCAAAAGAUGUUCUUUUGGCGCUGCGGGCGUUGUACAGUUGCAGCACAUACAAAAUGUGCACCAUGGCCAGUGAUUCAUCAAAAAGACGAUCAAGGAAGUGCAAUUUGCUGGAGGCAUCCUUCUGACUGGCUUCUGAAAAAUGAGGUCUAUCUUUUUUUCCUUAAAAUUUGUCACAAAAUAACAGCAGCUUAUACAGUCUAAUUUGAUAAAUAGGCAAGAGAGAAACUUUCUAGUAUAAGUAUUAAAAAAAAAUUAUGUGCAUCUAGUCAUUGUAUUUUCUCCAAGCUCAGUGCUAAUGCCUCCAUUACAUUUCAAGUAUCUUUUUGUUCCAUCUCUGGAUCCUUGGAAGAUUAAUAUCGAACAAGAAUAAGUUACCUUUGAGGCUUAGCUUGGACAAUAUUAUCACAAAUUCACAAUGCAUCCCACACACCCUUUUGUUAAUAUUUGUAAUGGUUAAGGUGGCUGACAGGAAUACUUUGUUUGCUGGUGACAGAAUUCUGACUUUACCAACAGCAUAGAGGUGAGUGCAUGCAUGACAUAACUCUACCUUUGCUAUGUUUUCUUCUAUGAUUAUUUCAUUCAUGUAAACUGUGCAUGGUUUUGAACAAAUCAUUUUCAGAUCUUCUUUAGCAGCUUGCUGGUUAGGUUUCAGAAUUUGUUUUUACUACUUUUAAAGCCGAAAAAAUGGUUAACCGAAAGUAAUGUUUUAGGACUUCUAUCAUCAUUUGUUUGCAUGGUUGACCACUAAUAUGUGUAUUAGUGUUAGAAGGUCGCAUGGAAAAUUGUAUUAGUAGAUAUGAUUACCAUAUCUGGUUUCAAUCUUUGCUAUUAUGUUUGUAUACAAAAAUAUGGUCAUGUUGCAUCUUGGGGACCGGGAGGUCGAAAACACCACAUUUUAGAAUUGAUGUGUUAUUUUCAUUUGUACGUGAACAUGACUAGUUUUUAGUACUUGGUGAUGCGACUGGAACACAUGGUAAAACAAAGAUUUUAUGAGGAACAUGGUUAGGUUUCUAAUGAUGUAAAGUCUCAGGAAAAGGAAAUGCAGUGACUUAUCUUCCUUUAUCUAUUACAACUUUACAAGUGCUACUGUUUCAUCAUGACGAAGUGCACUUCCUAUGCAAUAUUUAUUCAUGGUGACUCUGAACAUGCUUUUUGAUAGGAAGUGUUUCACCGGCUACCCCUUCCAUAUGUUAAUGAAGACUUCGAUAUUGAUUCAACCAUUAGGGAUUUUGCUGAGGCUGUUUACAAGCCACCCCCCUAUACGUCCAUCAGGCGCAAUGUAUAUUUGAUAAAAAAGAAGCGCAUUGGUGUUCGUGCGGAUACUGGGUGCACGAACUGCCGAGCUGAUUCUACUUGCAAAGAAGACUGUGAAUGCAGGGGUCUUUCGAUAAGUUGUUCCAAGAAUUGCCGCUGCUCAGAUCUCUGUACGAACAGGCCAUUCCGCAAGGAUAAGAAAAUUAAAAUUGUGAAGACAGAGCGUUGUGGAUGGGGUGCUGUUGCAUUGGAGCCAUUGGAGAAAGGUGAUUUUGUAAUUGAGUAUGUUGGUGAAGUCAUUGACGAUAUGAUAUGUGAACAAAGGCUUUGGGAUAUAAGAAGUCGCGGUGACAAAAACUUCUACAUGUGUGAAAUCAGCAAAGAUUUUACAAUAGAUGCAACAUUUAAAGGAAAUGCAUCGCGAUUUCUAAACCACAGUUGUGAGCCCAACUGUAAACUCGAAAAAUGGCAGGUUGAAGGUGAGACUAGAGUUGGUGUCUUUGCCUCUCGUUCCAUCAAAGUUGGAGAGCCCUUAACUUAUGACUACAGGUUUGUGCAUUUUGGAGAGAAAGUGGAGUGCCACUGUGAGGCACCAAACUGCCAGGGAUACCUGGGCAACCAAAUAAAGAACCCAACUCAAAACACUCUUACAAUUAAAGACGAGCAAGAGAAGUCACGCGAACAUUCGCCAAUACAACACGGCAGCUCUGUUUCAAUAUUGCACUCAAUGUCUCAUUUGUUACCUUGGACCAACCCGAACUGUAUAGAGGUCUCUUUUAACCUGAGAAGCAAAAGCAAAAUAACCCGGAUAUGCUGGGUCGGCAAGAGGAAGAGAACAUCUCUCGUGGCAUCGUACAACAAGAAUGCCAACGUCACUGAGUGAAGCUCCUGCUGAAACAGCAGCAUAGGCUUAUCCUGUACAAUAAUUUCAUGGUACAUUCUUUAUAUGCAAUUGGUUGAAAACAAUUCUUUCACAUUGGUCAUAUGUGUUGUUGUUACCUGCAACAUUCUUUAUUCAAUCUCAUAGGGAAUUCAGUCUGUUCACAGUUGCCAGUUUGCUGAAACCUUGUACUCAGAUUUUCUGAUGCAACUUGUGGUUGUGGCUCUCUAUCCUUGUAUAUGAGAUGAUGUUGCAAAACUUGAAUCCCUUCUCAGGAUGUUACACGUAGCAUACACCA